GACGAACGCUGGCGGCGUGCUUAACACAUGCAAGUCGAACGAUGAAGCCGGAGCUUGCUCUGGUGAAUUAGUGGCGAACGGGUGAGUAACACGUGAGUAACCUGCCCUUGACUCUGGGAUAACUGCGGGAAACUGUAGCUAAUACCGGAUACGACCCUCGGAGGCAUCUCCUGGGGGUGGAAAGAAUUUCGGUCAAGGAUGGACUCGCGGCCUAUCAGCUAGUUGGUGAGGUAAAGGCUCACCAAGGCGACGACGGGUAGCCGGCCUGAGAGGAGGACCGGCCACACUGGGGCUGAGACACGGCCCAGACUCCUACGGGAGGCAGCAGUGGGGAAUAUUGCACAAUGGGCGCAAGCCUGAUGCAGCAACGCCGCGUGAGGGAUGACGGCCUUCGGGUUGUAAACCUCUUUUAGCAGGGAAGAAGCGAAAGUGACGGUACCUGCAGAAAAAGCACCGGCUAACUACGUGCCAGCCGCCGCAGUAA
rnacentral:rRNA from 1 species